UACGUAGGGACCGAGCGUUGUCCGGAAUUAUUGGGCGUAAAGAGCUCGUAGGCGGUUUGUCGCGUCGGCUGUGAAAACUCGGGGCUCAACCCCGAGCCUGCAGUCGAUACGGGCAAACUAGAGUGUGGUAGGGGAGACUGGAAUUCCUGGUGUAGCGGUGAAAUGCGCAGAUAUCAGGAGGAACACCGGCGGCGAAGGCGGGUCUCUGGGCCAUAACUGACGCUGAGGAGCGAAAGCGUGGGGAGCGAACAGG
rnacentral:rRNA from 1 species